ensembl:lncRNA
GACGUUUUCCUCGUCUGUUUAUCAGCCCAACUAGAAAAAAUACCUCAUAUGCACGGGAUGAAUUCUCUGUUGUCUCUAGUACAGCCUGCUCUCCACCACCACCAUCAGAAUGUGGAAGCCUUAAUCUUUGGCCUAUGUGGUGCAUUGAAAAAAACGAGUGAAAAAAGUGAGCCAUGAAGAAAGUACCCAGACUUCGGAAACAAAUGCAAAAGUGACUAAGGAGUCCUAAAACAGAAUAACCAGAAAGUUAUCAGCUCUUUCUGUACUUCAGAAAUGGUAAGAAGUAAACAACAAGAACUUAAAAAGCUACAAAAUUAAGAAAACUGAUCUUAUUAAAAUGACUGGGGGGGGGGAAAUCUCAAGUCAAAGAAACACUUGGGAAAGUUAACUUAAAAUAUUUGAAGAAAUAAUUGUUAAGUGGUUAGCUUUCCUUUGUUUCUCUAGAAAUGUUAAAAGGGGUCAAUUUAAACAGUAAACAGCUAUCCUUAGCAUUAAAGACUGGGAAUAGAUUGAUGGAAAUGGAGGUAAAUCUAUUAAAUAAUGACUUGGUGCCAUAUUCUGUUAACAAUUUUAUACGAUGUUCACAAACUAUCCUCAAAGAAAUGUAUUAUCAAGCUCCACUUUAUUGAUGAAGAAAUCAAUAUUUUUCAGUUUAAUCAAAGCCUAUGUUCUUUCUGCUACUUCUCGGUUGAUAAUUUGCAACAUUGGGAUAGGAGAUUGUAAAGAUCGUCCUACCAGAUGUGUUUGAGGUUAGGUCAGAAAACCUUGUUGGGGAGUAUUUUGUGAGCAGUCAUGCUGGAAGCAGUCUGAAUGGAUGUCUUUCAAAUUACUAAGCAGCUCUAACCUUCUGGAAAACUGCAGCGUCAGUUGUGUCUCUGAGUAGUUUAGGGGAUAGAUGGGUUCCACCCAACAGGCCUGGAUUUUCCCCUUAUAGCUAAAGAUCACUUGCCCACUUAUCAUUUUGUUUGAAAAUGGCUUGUUUCUGAAGGCAAGGUCAGUAUUUACAAGUUGUAAGGGGCCUUCACCUUGUUUGCUUUACCCUUUUCCUCUUCAACGUUCAACAUCUUGAUGUAAUAAAUUAGAGCAAUAGUAUGAACUUGACUCUGAAAAGGCAAAGGUUUUGUGGAUACUCAGCUACCAGCUUUCAGAAAAACAAUCAUUAAACUUCAGACCAAAAAUAAUGUAGGCUUGGGCCUCAUGAAAAUCACAAAGAAAUAAAAUACAAAGCCUCCUUGGAAAAAUUCAACGAAGACAAGAUUGUCUCUUUUAUCUAUUAGACAAUCCAAGUGAAGAUUAUGAAAAAAAAAUCCUUAAAAAACCCUAUUUUAAAAGUUGUAUGGGAGUUCCCAUCAUGGCUCAGCGGUAAAGAACCUGAGUAGGAUUAUGAGGAUUCAAGUUUGAUUCCUGGCCUUGCUCAGUGGUGUUGUUUGCAGGCAUGGUUUGGAUCUGGCAUUGCUGUGGCUGUGGGGUAGACUGGCAGCUGUAGCUUGUAGCUCUGAUUCAACCCCUACCCUGGGAAAUUCCAUAUGCUGCAGAUGUGGCCCUAAAAAGCAAAAAAAAAAAAAGAAAAUUUGUGUGUAUAUU